GGCGGCGGCCUACACAUGCAAGUCCAGCGGUUGACGGGAGCUUGCUCCCUGAUUCAGCGGCGGACGGGUGAGUAAUGCCUAGGAAUCUGCCUAUUAGUGGGGGACAACGUUUCGAAAGGAACGCUAAUACCGCAUACGUCCUACGGGAGAAAGCAGGGGACCUUCGGGCCUUGCGCUAAUAGAUGAGCCUAGGUCGGAUUAGCUAGUUGGUGGGGUAAUGGCUCACCAAGGCGACGAUCCGUAACUGGUCUGAGAGGAUGAUCAGUCACACUGGAACUGAGACACGGUCCAGACUCCUACGGGAGGCAGCAGUGGGGAAUAUUGGACAAUGGGCGAAAGCCUGAUCCAGCCAUGCCGCGUGUGUGAAGAAGGACUUCGGAUUGUAAAGCACUUUAAGUUGGGAGGAAGGGCAGUAAAUUAAUACUUUGCUGUUUUGACGUUACCGACAGAAUAAGCACCGGCUAACUCUGUGCCAGCAGCCGCGGUAAU
rnacentral:rRNA from 1 species